GACGUAGGGGGCAAGCGUUGUCCGGAAUCAUUGGGCGUAAAGCGCGUGUAGGCGGCUCGGUAAGUCUGCUGUGAAAGUCCAGGGCUCAACCCUGGGAUGCCGGUGGAUACUGUCGAGCUCGAGUCCGGAAGAGGCGAGUGGAAUUCCUGGUGUAGCGGUGAAAUGCGCAGAUAUCAGGAGGAACACCAAUUGCGAAGGCAGCUCGCUGGGACGUUACUGACGCUGAGACGCGAAAGCGUGGGGAGCAAACAGG
rnacentral:rRNA from 1 species